rnacentral:misc_RNA from 1 species
GAUGAAGAACGCAGUGAAAUGCGAUAAGUAAUGUGAAUUGCAGAAUUCAGUGAAUCAUCGAAUCUUUGAACGCACAUUGCGCCCAUUAGUAUUCUAGUGGGCAUGCCUGUUCGAGCGUCAUUAAGUCCACUUAAGCCUAGCUUAGUGUUGGGAGACUGCUCCAGUGGUGCUACCCUGUAGCUACCCUGCAGCUCCUUAAAGACAGCGGCGGAGUCGUGUUAUCCUCUGAGCUUAGUAAAUCAUUCUAGCUUUCGAGAGUAUCACUUCACCUGCCGUUAAACCACCUAAUUUUUAUGGUUGACCUCGGAUCAGGUAGGAAUACCCGCUGAACUUAAGCAUAUCAAUAAGCGGAGGA